UACGGAGGGGGCGAGCGUUAUUCGGAAUUAUUGGGCGUAAAGGGCGCGUAGGCGGCUGUACAAGUCAAAGGUGAAAUCCCUCGGCUUAACCGGGGAACUGCGUCCGAUACUGGAUGGCUUGAGUUCGGGAGAGGGAUGCGGAAUUCCAGGUGUAGCGGUGAAAUGCGUAGAUAUCUGGAGGAACACCGGUGGCGAAGGCGGCAUCCUGGACCGACACUGACGCUGAGGAGCGAAAGCCAGGGGAGCAAACGGG
rnacentral:rRNA from 1 species